rnacentral:rRNA from 1 species
GGGUUGUGAGGUUAAGCGACUAAGCGUACACGGUGGAUGCCCUGGCAGUCAGAGGCGAUGAAGGACGUGCUAAUCUGCGAAAAGCGUCGGUAAGGUGAUAUGAACCGUUAUAGCCGGCGAUGUCCGAAUGGGGAAACCCAGUGCAAUUCGUUGCACUAUCGUUAACUGAAUACAUAGGUUAACGAGGCGAACCGGGGGAACUGAAACAUCUAAGUACCCCGAGGAAAAGAAAUCAACCGAGAUUCCCCCAGUAGCGGCGAGCGAACGGGGAGCAGCCCGGAGUCUGAAUCAGCUUGUGUGUUAGUGGAAGCGUCUGGAAAGUCGCAGGGUACAGGGUGAUACUCCCGUACACUAAAACACACAGGCUGUGAACUCGAAGAGUAGGGCGGGACACGUGGUAUCCUGUCUGAAUAUGGGGGGACCAUCCUCCAAGGCUAAAUACUCCUGACUGACCGAUAGUGAACCAGUACCGUGAGGGAAAGGCGAAAAGAACCCCGGCGAGGGGAGUGAAAAAGAACCUGAAACUGUGUACGUACAAGCAGUAGGAGCCCACUAGUUGGGUGACUGCGUACCUUUUGUAUAAUGGGUCAGCGACUUAUAUUCUGUAGCAAGGUUAACCGUAUAGGGGAGCCGCAGGGAAACCGAGUCUUAACUGGGCGUUAAGUUGCAGGGUAUAGACCCGAAACCCGGUGAUCUAGCCAUGGGCAGGUUGAAGGUUGGGUAACACUAACUGGAGGACCGAACCGACUAAUGUUGAAAAAUUAGCGGAUGACUUGUGGCUGGGGGUGAAAGGCCAAUCAAACCGGGAGAUAGCUGGUUCUCCCCGAAAGCUAUUUAGGUAGCGCCUCGUGAAUUCAUCUUCGGGGGUAGAGCACUGUUUCGGCUAGGGGGUCAUCCCGACUUACCAACCCGAUGCAAACUACGAAUACCGAAGAAUGUUAUCACGGGAGACACACGGCGGGUGCUAACGUCCGUCGUGAAGAGGGAAACAACCCAGACCGCCAGCUAAGGUCCCAAAGUCAUGGUUAAGUGGGAAACGAUGUGGGAAGGCCCAGACAGCCAGGAUGUUGGCUUAGAAGCAGCCAUCAUUUAAAGAAAGCGUAAUAGCUCACUGGUCGAGUCGGCCUGCGCGGAAGAUGUAACGGGGCUAAACCAUGCACCGAAGCUGCGGCAGCGACACUAUGUGUUGUUGGGUAGGGGAGCGUUCUGUAAGCCGUUGAAGGUGGCCUGUGAGGGUUGCUGGAGGUAUCAGAAGUGCGAAUGCUGACAUAAGUAACGAUAAUGCGGGUGAAAAACCCGCACGCCGGAAGACCAAGGGUUCCUGUCCAACGUUAAUCGGGGCAGGGUGAGUCGACCCCUAAGGCGAGGCCGAAAGGCGUAGUCGAUGGGAAACAGGUUAAUAUUCCUGUACUUGGUGUUACUGCGAAGGGGGGACGGAGAAGGCUAUGUUGGCCGGGCGACGGUUGUCCCGGUUUAAGCAUGUAGGCGGAUGUUCCAGGUAAAUCCGGAACGUCACUAACGCUGAGGUGUGAUGACGAGGCACUACGGUGCUGAAGUGACAAAUGCCCUGCUUCCAGGAAAAGCCUCUAAGCAUCAGGUAACAUCAAAUCGUACCCCAAACCGACACAGGUGGUCAGGUAGAGAAUACCAAGGCGCUUGAGAGAACUCGGGUGAAGGAACUAGGCAAAAUGGUGCCGUAACUUCGGGAGAAGGCACGCUGAUGGUAAGUGAAGUGACUUGCUCAUGGAGCUGAAAUCAGUCGAAGAUACCAGCUGGCUGCAACUGUUUAUUAAAAACACAGCACUGUGCAAACACGAAAGUGGACGUAUACGGUGUGACGCCUGCCCGGUGCCGGAAGGUUAAUUGAUGGGGUUAUCCUCACGGAGAAGCUCUUGAUCGAAGCCCCGGUAAACGGCGGCCGUAACUAUAACGGUCCUAAGGUAGCGAAAUUCCUUGUCGGGUAAGUUCCGACCUGCACGAAUGGCGUAAUGAUGGCCAGGCUGUCUCCACCCGAGACUCAGUGAAAUUGAACUCGCUGUGAAGAUGCAGUGUACCCGCGGCAAGACGGAAAGACCCCGUGAACCUUUACUAUAGCUUGACACUGAACACUGGUCCUUGAUGUGUAGGAUAGGUGGGAGGCUUUGAAGUGUGGACGCCAGUCUGCAUGGAGCCGUCCUUGAAAUACCACCCUUUAAUGGCUGGUGUUCUAACGUGGGCCCGUGAUCCGGGUUGCGGACAGUGUCUGGUGGGUAGUUUGACUGGGGCGGUCUCCUCCUAAAGAGUAACGGAGGAGCACGAAGGUCAGCUAAUCCUGGUCGGACAUCAGGAGGUUAGUGCAAUGGCAUAAGCUGGCUUGACUGCGAGCGUGACGGCGCGAGCAGGUGCGAAAGCAGGUCAUAGUGAUCCGGUGGUUCUGAAUGGAAGGGCCAUCGCUCAACGGAUAAAAGGUACUCCGGGGAUAACAGGCUGAUACCGCCCAAGAGUUCAUAUCGACGGCGGUGUUUGGCACCUCGAUGUCGGCUCAUCACAUCCUGGGGCUGAAGUAGGUCCCAAGGGUAUGGCUGUUCGCCAUUUAAAGUGGUACGCGAGCUGGGUUUAGAACGUCGUGAGACAGUUCGGUCCCUAUCUGCCGUGGGCGCUGGAGAAUUGAGGGGGGCUGCUCCUAGUACGAGAGGACCGGAGUGGACGCAUCACUGGUGUUCGGGUUGUCAUGCCAAUGGCAUUGCCCGGUAGCUAAAUGCGGAAGAGAUAAGUGCUGAAAGCAUCUAAGCACGAAACUUGCCCCGAGAUGAGUUCUCCCUGACCCUUUAAGGGUCCUGAAGGAACGUUGAAGACGACGACGUUGAUAGGCCGGGUGUGUAAGCGCAGCGAUGCGUUGAGCUAACCGGUACUAAUGAACCGUGAGGCUUAACCUUACAACGCCGAAG